CGGGUGAGGGCUGCGCGUUGUGGGCAGCGGGUUGGGGGGCACGGCGGGGUUCGCGGGGAUCAGCUUGGGGCUGGGGGUGCCAGCGGGCAGGGGUCACCGACGUGGCAGACACCGGGACCACGGGACUCGGGGACCAGGGGGAGACAACGGGCCCGGGGGUGCGGAGGAGCUGGUGGCACCCGGGGAGCGCUGGGAGGAGCUGCGGAGGGACGCUCCGGGACCGGCGGCAGCAAAGGGACAGCGUGGCACCCGGCAGCAGCGGGGCCACCGGCAGGGACGACACAGCAGUGGGUUUGGGGCCGAACCCCUAUCGAUAUCCCAGUGUCACCCGGCUGUUUCCCCGCACCCCCAUUGCGGGGCUGUGACCCUUCACUCCCCGCUCACCCCAGCACGGCAGCAGCUGGCCUGCACCCCCCGCUCCACUCCCCACCCCCAGAAUAGCACCCCCACAGUGGGGUCACCCCGACACCACCCCAACGCCGUGCUUGCUCACCCUGCACCAGGAUCUCCUCGAAGAGCAUGGCCGUGUCCAGCCCGGCCCCGGCAGCCCCGGCAGCAGCCCCAGCCCUGGCCCUGCACUUUGCACAGGGCGGCCGCACGCCGCCUGCUUGGCAUUUAUCUUGGGGCGCAUGGCAACCCCGGGGCGGCGCUGAGCGGCAUCACACGCUGCACAUGUACAGUGCUCAUCGGUCUGGGUGGGCUUUAUGGCGUACGGAGCGUCUCGACAGAGGGUACAUGGAGAACUGGGGGUCAAAAAGGCGUGGAUGGGCCCCCCUGGGGCACACCAGCAGAGGUGCGCUGGGGACAAGGACGUGCACACACAGACCCCGCUGCACCAGGGCUGUUGGCCUGGCGCUUUGCUCCCACGGUGCUGACGUUGGGUUUUUAGAGCAGCAGCUGCUGUGUGCACGCCAUCCAUGCAGCACAUCCCAAGGAUCAGUUUGUCUGGGGCUAACUUCCUGCACCUGCACAGCUGGGUGUAGGGAGCAGCUGCCAGCAGCCCCUUCCAAUCCCCCCUACCCCCCCCCCCUCCUGGCCCCACAGAGUCCUUUGGCCGUGGCUGUGUGUCGUGGUCACUUCCUGCGCCCUAUGCGUGCCAUCAGCUCAGCGUUAGCAGCCGCCUUGGCUUGCAGCUCCUUCUCCCGGGCCAAGUCCAGCAGGAUCCUCAGGAUGUGUGUGGGGACAUCGAGGGACAGGGACACCUUUCUUGCCGUGCUGCUCUUUUUUACCACAGAAGCUCUGUUGGUGUCGGGGUUUGGCAGCCAGGGCCACGCUUCUCUCACCGACUCCUCCAGCAGCAGCUGCGUGGUUCCAUCCAACUGAGAGCCAGCCCCAGAGCCGUGGCCACGUCUCUCGCCAGGGAGCCCCAGCAUUACCCCGCUGCUGCCCUCCUUGUCCCAGCCAUCUUCAUGCCAGGGGGCACCGGGCACAGCGGGGCCGUGGGGAAGGCUCAGCCCCUGCACCAUGCCCCAUGGCAGCAGCAGGAAGGGCAGCAGCACAGCCUGCAGGAACAGAGCGCGGCACUCAGCAUCACCCCCCCACCUGGUGUCCCCUGUCCCAUUCACACCCAGGGGAUGGGGCGGUGGCAGCGUAGGGAUGGGGUGAUGAUGGCAGCGUGGGGACAACACGGCGUCUCCUCCCGCAGCCACUCCCCGCCCCACAGCUGCCCUUUGGUCGGGAACGUGUGACGUGGGACUGGGACUCACGCCACCACUGCCUCCUUCCAAGCCGCCCCCCUCAGGAGUGCCACCCCUCAGCUCUGUGGGGCAAAAGCUGCCUUCUCGGAUGGAACGAUUUGCCCCAAAUAAGCAGAAGGGUGACAAGAGCAUGAUGCAGCCACCUGCACGGCAUCCUCAGCAUCCUCGUCUGCAGGAGCCUGCGCUGCUCUCGGGGCUGGCUGCAAAAAGCCAGAGGGAAGCAGCGGAAUGCAGCCAGCAUCCUCAUCCUGCAUCCCACCUCCUGGGUGAAACCCUUUGGAAAGCACCAGAGCGGGCAGCCAGAGGCAGCCGGAUGAGUUGCAAACUGGGUGGUGAGUGAUGGCAGAAAGCAUCCAACCCCUGAGACCCGUUUCCCAGGUAAAUCCCCCCCAAAGGACCGCUCAGGGGUGCAGCCUCACCAUUUCCUGCAGUCCUCGUCCCCUGCUGCUCUCACGGUGUAGGGGUGGCAGAUGGGGUUUGCCCUGCUCAGGGCUGAGCCCUGGCUCUUAUCCUGCCCCAGCUCCACCUCCUGCCCCCCCCGACGGCACACAGCAGGGCCACUAUUAACGCAUUUUGCCUCAUCACAGAUGAAAUCACCCAGGGAUGCGGGUGGGCGUUUGCCCCCUCAUAGAGCCGAAUUUGGAGGGGAUUUUGGGAACUCGGCAUAAUCAUCUCACAUUGGACAUCCAACUAACUGCUGCUCCAUAGAACCGAGCCUGCCCAUAGGCUCUGCUGCGGGCUGGAGUGCCUGUGCUCAUGGGGUGGUGGAGAGAGGAAAUAAACGGGGCUCUGUUCUUCCUUCUGGAAACGGACAGGAACUCACUCCCCCCAGCAUGGCAGAGUGGCCAAAAUUAGACCAAGGCACUGAUUCACACUGCACCGCAGCCCCAUGUGCCUGUGGGUCGUGGGCACGUGUGUGUCAGCAAGACACAGGGACAGGGCACGGGGACAGGGGGCACCAGGGCAGGAGGGCAGCCAGCGGGCACUGCAGGCAGGGGGACACAGGCUGCCAGUAGCCAUAGGGCCAGAGACAAGGGAGUCAGGUCGGCUGUGUUGCCCCAGACCCUGUGGCACAUGAAGAGGCACAGCAUCCUUCCAUGAGCACAUCUUUAAUACCGUGUCCCACCCCUGCAUUGGUACACAUAUACAUUCGCUGUAUACAGAUAUACACAGAGCAGCAGUGCGUCUGGGCUGCAGAGGAGCCAGCGUCACCUUCCUGAUGAGCAGGAACCGCCUCUAACAUAGCACCAUCCUCAGGGUCUCCCUGGUGGGUCCCAGUUUCCAGGCAGAGGUGCGAGCCGGAGGGCAGCACAUGGAGAAAGCCUCCAUCCCUCCUGCAGUUCUCUGCCAAACCAUCGCCCCCCAAAAGGGUUACCGGGUCCCAGGUGGGGUGAAGGUGAAAUUCAUUCAAAUGGAGCAGGUUGCACGGAGCCCAAGAGGGAGACGAGGGCAGCCCACAGCCUUGGGGAUUUGAGGCGUUGGGUUUGGGGAAGGGGCCCAACCGUGCCCACUCUCAGCUCUGGGCGGCCAAAGAAGGAACAUGGGGCCAAGAGCUGUCCCUUUGGCAGCAAAUAAGUUAAAAAAUUAAGGCAACACCCCAAGAGAGCUCUGGUUUGGAAAGCAGAUAAAAGGCGUAUGGGGAGGUCGUGUUCCCAUUUGAUAGAAAUUUCACCUUUAACGGGAAAUAGAACCGACAUAAAGGGAAAGACCCAUGAGCAACAAGAAGAGACGUCAGAAAUAGCACCACGUUCCUGCAGGGAUCGCCACGCUACGCCUCCGGCCGCCGUCCUUCCCCGCUGCCAGCACCUGUGGGGGGAGGCGAGGUGGCACCAAGCACGGCACCAGGUGCGAUGCCGCCAGCGCUGAUAGCUGUGCUGUGCCCACCUGUCCCCACGCGCUGCCUGCAGCGGAGCUCACACUCCUCCUGGCUGCCGAAGCGGUUGAGGUUGCCCUGGCAGCCACUGUAGACGAAGGGCCGGCACUCGGCGGCUCUUUGGUUGUAGUACCAGCGCAGCGUGUACCGCUGGCAGCCCCCCUCCUCCACGGGCUGGGUGCAGGGCUCGGCUGCAGGGACAAAGCGCAGUGGCGAGGGCAUGACAUAGACCAGCAUCUCUCAUCUAGGAGCACGGGGAACCCAGUGCCCGAGCAAACCACGUGCUGCUGGAGCGCCCACCCCAGGCACAGGCUUGGUGCAGUGGGUUCCCAGCAGAACAAUGGCAGCCCUUGCACCAUGGGGUCACCUGUGCCACGCCUGGUCCCCCGUGGGGCACAGGGAGCUCACCGUCCUCUGCGAGCUGCUCUGAGCUGUCUGCAUCCAGAGCUGUGUCGUAGUCCUCCUGCUCCCCGUACAUGCUCUCAUACUCCAGGUCGUUGGUGUCAACGACAACACGCCUGUCCUGCCCUGCAGACAACACUGGCUGUGAGUGCAGCACUGC
rnacentral:lncRNA from 1 species